rnacentral:rRNA from 1 species
GAUGAACGCUGGCGGCGUGCCUAAUACAUGCAAGUCGAGCGGUAACACUUCGGGUGACGAGCGGCGGACGGCUGAGUAACACGUAGGAACGUACCCCAAACUGAGGGAUAAGCACCAGAAAUGGUGUCUAAUACCGCAUGUGGCCCCUCACCACUUUUUGUGAGCUUAUAAAGUAUCAAAAAGUAUUUCGUAGGAAGUGGUGAGGGGUUAAAGCUUCGGCGGUUUGGGAACGGCCUGCGCAUGAUUAGCUUGUUGGUGAGGUAAAAGCUCACCAAGGCGACGAUCAUUAGCUGGUCUGAGAGGAUGAUCAGCCAGACUGGGACUGAGACACGGCCCAGACUCCUACGGGAGGCAGCAGUAGGGAAUUUUCCACAAUGGGCGAAAGCCUGAUGGAGCAACGCCGCGUGCAGGAUGAAUGCCUUAGGGUUGUAAACUGCUUUUAUAUGUGAAGAUAUUGACGGUAGCAUAUGAAUAAGGAUCGGCUAAUUCCGUGCCAGCAGCCGCCGUAACAC